rnacentral:rRNA from 1 species
CAGUAACUGCGAGUGAAGCGGGAAAAGCUCAGACUGAAAAUCUUCGGAAUUGUAGUCUGGAGAAGUAUGGUCAGCCGAUGAUGAUGAGUGAAGUCUUCUGGAAAGGAGCGCCUUGGAGGGUGAUAGCCCCGUUCAUACUUAUCAUUAGAAGCGUACGACCUGCUUUCUACGAGUCGUGUUGUUUGGGACUGCAGCACUAAGUGGGUGGUAAAUUCCAUCUAAAGCUAAAUAUUGGUGGGAGACCGAUAGCGAACAAGUACCGUGAGGGAAAGAUGCAAAGAACUUUGAAAAGAGAGUUAAAUAGUACCUGAAAUUGCUGAAAUGGAACCGAUGGGAAGCAGUGUCGGUGGCGGGUAUUUAUACCUGUCACAAGCCAGGCUUCUUCUCUGGUGCGGGAAAGGCUGAUAAACUAGUUUAGGUUAUCUACGCCGUCGUGCUAGCGAAG